UACAGAGGGUGCAAGCGUUAAUCGGAUUUACUGGGCGUAAAGGGCGCGUAGGCGGUGAGAUGUGUGUGAUGUGAAAGCCCCGAGCUUAACUUGGGAAGAGCAUCGCAAACUAUCUGACUGGAGUAUAUGAGAGGGUGGCGGAAUUUCCGGUGUAGCGGUGAAAUGCGUAGAGAUCGGAAGGAACGUCAAUGGCGAAGGCAGCCACCUGGCAUAAUACUGACGCUGAGGCGCGAAAGCGUGGGGAGCGAAC
rnacentral:rRNA from 1 species